UGAACUGGGUGANUAGAGUGUGUCAGAGGGAGGUAGAAUUNCACGUGUAGCAGUGAAAUGCGUAGAGAUGUGGAGGAAUACCGAUGGCGAAGGCAGCCUCCUGGGAUAACACUGACGUUCAUGCCCGAAAGCGUGGGUAGCAAACAGGAUUAGAUACCCUGGUAGUCCACGCCCUAAACGAUGUCGAUUAGCUGUUGGGCAGCAUGACUGCUUGGUAGCGAAGCUAACGCGUGAAAUCGACCGCCUGGGGAGUACGGUCGCAAGAUUAAAACUCAAAGGAAUUGACGGGGACCCGCACAAGCGGUGGAUGAUGUGGAUUAAUUCGAUGCAACGCGAAGAACCUUACCUGGUCUUGACAUGUACGGAACCCUUCAGAGACGGAGGGGUGCCUUCGGGAGCCGUAACACAGGUGCUGCAUGGCUGUCGUCAGCUCGUGUCGUGAGAUGUUGGGUUAAGUCCCGCAACGAGCGCAACCCUUGUCAUUAGUUGCCAUCAUUAAGUUGGGCACUCUAAUGAGACUGCCGGUGACAAGCCGGAGGAAGGUGGGGAUGACGUCAAGUCCUCAUGGCCCUUAUGACCAGGGCUUCACACGUCAUACAAUGGUCGGUACAGAGGGUAGCCAAGCCGCGAGGUGGAGCCAAUCUCACAAAACCGAUCGUAGUCCGGAUUGCACUCUGCAACUCGAGUGCAUGAAGUCGGAAUCGCUAGUAAUCGCAGGUCAGCAUACUGCGGUGAAUACGUUCCCGGGUCUUGUACACACCGCCCGUCACACCAUGGGAGUGGGGGAUACCAGAAGUAGGUAGGGUAACCGCAAGGAGCCCGCUUAC
rnacentral:rRNA from 1 species